UUUCGGUUUGUGUGACUCACGGUUCAGAUGACUGGGGGAAAGUGAUCCGUGUAGUAACUCCUGGACCGUGCAGAUGGCAAGUCCAAACACAUGAUCCUGCAGAACUUCCAGCUUCUUUCCAAAGCCAACCUCAUUCCUAAUGCUUUCAACAUAUGUAAGGCUUAAAGGGGGCUGUCAUGUGGGAGUUCAUACGUUACAUCUUAUCUGGGAUGAAGCUUCUUCAAGGAUUGAAUGCUGAAGGAUUCAGCAGGAUAUAUGGUGAUCCAUAGCUCACACUGGCUUCAGCAGUGCAGAAGAUGCUGUGUCAUGGUUUGUGUGUGAAAAACCAGUAGGAAUACACCACAGAACAUUUAUAUACAUUUAUCUGCUUGUAGCAAAGGGCUUUUGUUGGAUGUAAAAAGCUGCUCCUUGCUCUUUUACUUUUCCAUGGGCAGAAACACAGAAUGGCUUCUGACAAUUUAAGGUAAUAUUCAGGCAUAAUAGUUAUCAGUGGUUGCCAUUAAUAUGAUUCCUAUUAGUGAAAAAAAGAGAGCAUUCAUUCUCUGUUAUAUUUCUGUAAGGACCACAUUUGCUGAUAUUUAGGGAUCAAAGAUCCACUUGAGCUAGAAAAAGGAUGAGGAAAAGCUACUUUGCCUUUUCAGUUCUUAGGAGGAAGCAAAAACACAGGGAAAUCAGGCAAAUAGUUAUAAAUCCAGGUUAACCUUUGGAAGGCAGUGAAGUCCUUCUGUUUUCCCUUGUUACCCAUUGGAAAAGUUCAAAACCUUUUUUUAAUUAAAAAAAGAUGAUUAUUUGUAUGCAUGAGCAUGUUAUUACUAACCUGUAUUUUUAAAUAGGUGCAAGAAUGUUAAACCAUUAGAUUACAACAAACAACAUUUCCAUUGUUUGAUCUAUGGUUCCCUUUAUUA